rnacentral:misc_RNA from 1 species
CAGAGUUGCAAAACUCCCAACCCUUUGUGAACGAACCUAGCAGUUGCUUCGGCGGAAGGCCCUUUAGGGGGCGGCCCGCCGAAGGUUUACAAACUCUUGUUUUUUGGCAUCUCUGAGUAGCUUAUACAAUAAGUCA